AGGCACUAAUCCUUUCAGCAUAAUUUUAUUAAUUUCAAUUCUGUUCCUAAACACAAAAAGGAAAAGUGUUGCUAAUUGCUUACUCCUUUUAUGCCUGUUGGUUUCUUUUUCAUCGGCCAUCUAAUAAAGUCUCUGUUCAUUGUGGUCCAACUCUGGUAUUGAUAUUUACGCAUUUGUACCUUAUCUCUCAUGGGGUAAAUUCUGAUGCUACGAUCUUGGAUUUAUUGAUAAUUAGUUAGUGCUAUCUUCCUUGUGCAGACUAAAGCUGCAUUUGAUGAAACUUGGAGAAAGUACCCAAACAUUAUGGGUUGGAGAUACGGGCAAGAAUGAGCUAUGUCAGUAUGGAAAGGCAUUCUGGAGUUCUUUGCUAUUGGCGUUUGUCUUUGGCUCUGUGUUGUCAUUACUCUCCAAAGGAUUCUUGAUAUAAGGCGACCUCUUCUCAUGUGGUGUAUUAGUCCUUUGCAAGCUUUGAAAUUGUGCUACUCUUUAGCAAAGGCUGCAUCACAAAUCGCUUGGAGGAAGACCAUGUGUAGAUGGUUCUAUAUGUGGAGUCAAGCUUAAAAUGAGAGUUGCUGACAAGAUUACCAUUUAGAUGUCCACUUUAAGCUACAGUUUUGUGACUGGGAGAGACUUUUUUUUUGGAAAAAGCAAAUGCCAAGGAAUCAACAAAUAAACUGUAAAUUGCAGCCAAGAGUUUCAAUGAACAGGUUUCCAAGAAGACGGUAGUUUCCCAUUUAGAAGAAUUUUGAACACAAAAGAAUGGCAUUCAUUAGUGUAAAAUCAUCUCUCUGGUCUGGUUAUGUCGGAAUAUUCAUAUGUAGGCAUUUUGCAAUCACUUUGGCCGUAUAAUCUCAAACUUGAUUUAUUUAAGCAUGAAUCUAAAAGCAGAAGAGACACAGCCAUGUACAUUUUCAUACCUAAAAUCAAGUAGAGAGACUAGUUCGUUCUUGAAGAGCAGCAUUACUUUCUCCUU